GCGGCGGUAGCUCAGUGGAUAGAGCAUCGGAACUUCUAAUCCGACGGUCGAGGGUUCGAAUCCUUCCCGCCGCGCCA
rnacentral:tRNA from 1 species